rnacentral:tRNA from 1 species
GCCCCUGUGGUGGAACGGUAGACACGGCGACCUUAAAAGUCGCUGCCUGAGGGCGUGCGGGUUCGAUCCCCGCCAGGGGCACCG